CUCUCGCUCUCUCUCGCUCUCUCUACCUCUCCCUCGCCCUCUCCGCCUUCAUCCUCGCUGAAUGCCGUCCCAUUGGUGUAAAGGAAUCUGGUCAUCAGAUCUGAGGAAGAAUGUGCAUCUGGUGUUGAAGAAGUGUGAGAGCCCAUCACCACGGUCACCUCCUCGGACUCGACCUUGGUCGCAAUGGUCGUCGCCCAUUUCCUCAUCUCCGCCUGUGCAGGAAGAUAUCUUGCCGAACUAUGAUUUCCAGCCCAUCCGUCCCAUCACUGGAGCCUCUUCGCAAUCCCCAAGUUUUGAUGCUACACCUAAUCUCGGAGGUGGAGGAGGAUCCACUAGGGCUUGGAACUCCCAAGAGUUCAAGUCCAACACCAAUACUCCCAUCAGAAAUUAUGGUUCUGUGGAUUCCUUCGAACGUUCAAAAGAUGUUGUGGAGAAGGACUGAAAUGUUCCUAAUGCUACAAUUAUAUCAGAGAUUGACCACACCAUGAAGAAGUAUGCUGAUAAUUUACUUCAAGUUAUGGAAGGUAUUAGUGCACGACUAACACAACUUGAGAGCAGAACCCGCCACCUUGAGAAUUAUGUUGAUGAUUUGAAGGUAUCUGUGGGAAACAAUCAUGGAAAUGCUGAUGGAAAGAUGAGACAAAUGGAGAAUAUUCUUAGAGAUGUGCAAACAGGUGUUCAAGAUUUGAAGGAUAAGCAAUCAAUAGUAGAGGCUCAGAAACCAAUCUAGCUGAUGUCUUUAAGAUUAUGGAAUGCUUUCUUUCAGGCUGGUAAAUAUGCAAAGGAGAUGACACAACAGAAACCAAUCUAGCUAAAAGAGAGGUUUCUGUUCUUGAAAAUGUGUAUUGGAAGAAACUUGGAAUUAUUGCUACUGAGUGGCUCAUAAUACUUGGAUUGCAGAUUGC